rnacentral:rRNA from 1 species
AUUGAACGCUGGCGGCAGGCCUAACACAUGCAAGUCGAGCGAGCGGCGGACGGGUGAGUAAUGUCUGGGAAACUGCCCGAUGGAGGGGGAUAACUACUGGAAACGGUAGCUAAUACCGCAUACUAUCGGAUGUGCCCAUAUGGGAUUAGCUAGUAGGUGGGGUAACGGCUCACCUAGGCGACGAUCCCUAGCUGGUCUGAGAGGAUGACCAGCCACACUGGAACUGAGACACGGCCCAGACUCCUACGGGAGGCAGCAGUGGGGAAUAUUGCACAAUGGGCGCAAGCCUGAUGCAGCCAUGCCGCGUGUAUGAAGAAGGCCUUCGGGUUGUAAAGUACUUUCAGUGGGGAGGCGUUACCCGCAGAAGAAGCACCGGCUAACUCCGUGCCAGCAGCCGCGGUAAUUC